GGCUUGGUGGUCUAGUGGUAUGAUUCUCGCUUAGGGUUUUUGCGAGAGGUCCCGGGUUCGAUCCCCGGCCAAGCCC